AAUCUGGCUCUUUUAGAGUCCGAGUUGUAAUUUGCAGAGGGCGCUUUGGCUUUGGCAGCGGUCCAAGUUCCUUGGAACAGGACGUCACAGAGGGUGAGAAUCCCGUACGUGGUCGCUGGCUAUUGCCGUGUAAAGCCCCUUCGACGAGUCGAGUUGUUUGGGAAUGCAGCUCUAAAUGGGAGGUACAUUUCUUCUAAAGCUAAAUAUUGGCCAGAGACCGAUAGCGCACAAGUAGAGUGAUCGAAAGAUGAAAAGCACUUUGGAAAGAGAGUCAAACAGCACGUGAAAUUGUUGAAAGGGAAGCGCUUGCAGCCAGACUUGCUUACAGUUGCUCAUCCGGGUUUUUACCCGGUGCACUCUUCUGUAGGCAGGCCAGCAUCAGUUUGGGCGGUAGGAUAAAGGUCUCUGUCACGUACCUCCUUUCGGGGAGGCCUUAUAGGGGAGACGACAUACUACCAGCCUGGACUGAGGUCCGCGCAUCUGCUAGGAUGCUGGCGUAAUGGCUGUAAGCGGCCCGUCUUGAAACACGGACCAAGGAGUCUAACAUCUAUGCGAGUGUUUGGGUGUCAAGCCCGAGCGCGUAAUGAAAGUGAACGGAGGUGGGAACCCGCAAGGGUGCACCAUCGACCGAUCCUGAUGUCUUCGGAAGGAUUUGAGUAAGAGCAUGGCUGUUGGGACCCGAAAGAUGGUGAACUAUGCUUGAAUAGGGUGAAGCCAGAGGAAACUCUGGUGGAGGCUCGCAGCGGUUCUGACGUGCAAAUCGAUCGUCAAA
rnacentral:rRNA from 1 species